AAUUGCUCAUUCAAUGAGCAUUCUCAAUGGGUACACUAAUCAAUAAGAUUGAUGAAGUAGCAAUUAAUGCAAAAAUAGCCAAUUGGGAAAAAAAAUCAUGCUUUUAAUCCUCCAAGAUACCAACAAAUGAACUAUACCAUUUGAUCCCUCUAUCGGCCAAAUUUUUUUAAUAAAAUACAUCAUCGAGGGAUUUGAGUUUACCAUUUGACCACUUUAUUCAUACAUGGAGUCAGGGGAAAUGGAAUUUUGUUUUUUAUAUUUCAAAAAUGGACAUGCUGGAUUAUAUAUAUACGGAUAGAUAGAUCCAUAGGUAGAUUCACACCUAAGAUCUUUCUACAGAUAGUAGUGGUAUCCACCCCUGUGGCCAUGUUCUAUUCAGAGGAAUAAAAUAAGGGGCUUUAAGUUAGUAGAAACGAUUAAGAAGUACUCCCCAUGAUUUCGAUCUAGAGUAUGUUCCUAUUCCACAGAUUAAGUAAAUAACUAACAUAUAA
rnacentral:lncRNA from 1 species